rnacentral:rRNA from 1 species
GGCAUGGCGGCAGCUAUAAUGCAGUCGAGCGAACGGACGAGAAGCUUGCUUCUCUGAUGUUAGCGGCGGACGGGUGAGUAACACGUGGAUAACCUACCUAUAAGACUGGGAUAACUUCGGGAAACCGGAGCUAAUACCGGAUAAUAUUUUGAACCGCAUGGUUCAAAAGUGAAAGACGGUCUUGCUGUCACUUAUAGAUGGAUCCGCGCUGCAUUAGCUAGUUGGUAAGGUAACGGCUUACCAAGGCAACGAUGCAUAGCCGACCUGAGAGGGUGAUCGGCCACACUGGAACUGAGACACGGUCCAGACUCCUACGGGAGGCAGCAGUAGGGAAUCUUCCGCAAUGGGCGAAAGCCUGACGGAGCAACGCCGCGUGAGUGAUGAAGGUCUUCGGAUCGUAAAACUCUGUUAUUAGGGAAGAACAUAUGUGUAAGUAACUGUGCACAUCUUGACGGUACCUAAUCAGAAAGCCACGGCUAACUACGUGCCAGCAGCCGCGGUAAUACGUAGGUGGCAAGCGUUAUCCGGAAUUAUUGGGCGUAAAGCGCGCGUAGGCGGUUUUUUAAGUCUGAUGUGAAAGCCCACGGCUCAACCGUGGAGGGUCAUUGGAAACUGGAAAACUUGAGUGCAGAAGAGGAAAGUGGAAUUCCAUGUGUAGCGGUGAAAUGCGCAGAGAUAUGGAGGAACACCAGUGGCGAAGGCGACUUUCUGGUCUGUAACUGACGCUGAUGUGCGAAAGCGUGGGGAUCAAACAGGAUUAGAUACCCUGGUAGUCCACGCCGUAAACGAUGAGUGCUAAGUGUUAGGGGGUUUCCGCCCCUUAGUGCUGCAGCUAACGCAUUAAGCACUCCGCCUGGGGGAGUACGACCGCAAGGUUGAAACUCAGA